GACGAACGCUGGCGGCGUGCUUAACACAUGCAAGUCGAACGGAAAGGCCCUGCUUGCAGGGUACUCGAGUGGCGAACGGGUGAGUAACACGUGGGUGAUCUGCCCUGCACUUCGGGAUAAGCCUGUGAAACUGGGUCUAAUACCGGAUAGGAGCCAUUUUUAGUGUGAUGGUUGGAAAGUUUUUUCGGUGUAGGAUGAGCUCGCGGCCUAUCAGCUUGUUGGUGGGGUAAUGGCCUACCAAGGCGGCGACGGGUAGCCGGCCUGAGAGGGUGGACGGCCACACUGGGACUGAGAUAAGGCCCAGACUCCUACGGGAGGCAGCAGUGGGGAAUAUUGCACAAGGGGCGCAAGCCUGAUGCAGCGACGCCGCGUGGGGGAUGACGGCCUUAGGGUUGUAAACUCAUUUCGCUAGGGACGAAGCUUUUUGUGACGGUACCUAGAUAAGAAGCACCGGCUAACUACGUG
rnacentral:rRNA from 1 species